UGGGGAAUAUUGCACAAUGGGCGCAAGCCUGAUGCAGCCAUGCCGCGUGUGUGAAGAAGGCCUUCGGGUUGUAAAGCACUUUCAGCGGGGAGGAAGGCGUUAAGGUUAAUAACCUUGGCGAUUGACGUUACCCGCAGAAGAAGCACCGGCUAACUCCGUGCCAGCAGCCGCGGUAAUACGGAGGGUGCAAGCGUUAAUCGGAAUUACUGGGCGUAAAGCGCACGCAGGCGGUCUGUCAAGUCGGAUGUGAAAUCCCCGGGCUCAACCUGGGAACUGCAUUCGAAACUGGCAGGCUAGAGUCCUGGAGAGGGGGGUAGAAUUCCAGGUGUAGCGGUGAAAUGCGUAGAGAUCUGGAGGAAUACCGGUGGCGAAGGCGGCCCCCUGGACAAAGACUGACGCUCAGGUGCGAAAGCGUGGGGAGCAAACAGG
rnacentral:rRNA from 1 species